UGAUGUAGGGAAUUAACCAAA
rnacentral:piRNA from 1 species